AAUGCUGAUGCCAGGACCUUGUCCUGCCAGGAAGCCUCUGAUUAGGGCUGUGAACCAACUUCCUUUUCACAUCUGCAAGGACACUUGGAGGCAACUGCCCAAGGCCACUCUGAGGAGGGUUGAAUGUUCUUUAUUAAAAGGACUGAGGAUCAUGUGUGUUGGUGGGCCUUGGACUCUGCUCUAAGCUCAAAUUUUGCAGUUUCUGCUGUCAUCACAGCUGGGAAUGAGAAAGGGAAGGGGCUCCAGUUGGUCUCCCUCUGCCUCUGGAGCACACGUGGAGGACAUGAGGCUUCCGCAGGAACAGCUCUGAAAGCUGAGUUCUCGGGUCCCUGUGAAGGAGGGAAGCUUGCCUGCCUUGGAGCGUGAAAAAGUCUUGCUGGACAGAAGUCUCACGGUUUAAAACUGGGAAGGGAGAGGAUUGAGAUCACACUAGAAUGCACAGAAAAUUCUUAAAACAAAAAAAUGAGAGAAACUUCAUCAGAAUGUGAAAAGAACUAUAAAGCUACAGUGCUGAAGAGAGGGCAAUACUGGCACUAGAAUGAGAAGAUUCAUGGAACACAGUGGAAAAUGCAGUAAGAGAGCUGCAUACACAUGGAGGCAACCACUCAAGGCCACUCUGAGAAGGGUUGAACGUGCUUUAAAUUAAAAGGACUGAGGAUCAUGUGUGUUGGUGUGUCUUGGACUCUGCUCUAAGGAAGCCUCUGAUUAGGGCCCGGAACCAACUUCCUUUUCGCAUCUGCAGACUCAUGGAGGCAACCACUCAAGGCCACUCUGAGAAGGGUUGAACGUGCUUUAAAUUAAAAGGACUGAGGAUCAUGUGUGUUGGUGUGUCCUGGACUCUGCUCUAAGGCCCUGUGGCUGCCUGGUGCCCUGGGAAUGGUCCGGUCAUGGGCCUCAGCCCAGGAUGAGCAGCCAACAAUGCAAUCCCACGAAGAGUGUGCGGAAGGGAGAGGUUACUUCUCAAGAUGGAGCUGCCAAAUAGGGACACUUUGGAGAGUCUGGCCUGAGAACUUUUAGUUUCAAGAAUGUAUUGCUUUGGAAAAGACAGAAUAAAAGUCCAAGCACUGCCA
rnacentral:lncRNA from 1 species